AAAUUGAAGAGUUUGAUCAUGGCUCAGAUUGAACGCUGGCGGCAGGCCUAACACAUGCAAGUCGAACGGUAACAGGAAGCAGCUUGCUGCUUCGCUGACGAGUGGCGGACGGGUGAGUAAUGUCUGGGAAACUGCCUGAUGGAGGGGGAUAACUACUGGAAACGGUGGCUAAUACCGCAUAACGUCGCAAGACCAAAGAGGGGGACCUUCGGGCCUCUUGCCAUCAGAUGUGCCCAGAUGGGAUUAGCUUGUUGGUGAGGUAACGGCUCACCAAGGCGACGAUCCCUAGCUGGUCUGAGAGGAUGACCAGCCACACUGGAACUGAGACACGGUCCAGACUCCUACGGGAGGCAGCAGUGGGGAAUAUUGCACAAUGGGCGCAAGCCUGAUGCAGCCAUGCCGCGUGUAUGAAGAAGGCCUUCGGGUUGUAAAGUACUUUCAGCGGGGAGGAAGGUGUUGCGGUUAAUAACCGCAGCAAUUGACGUUACCCGCAGAAGAAGCACCGGCUAACUCCGUGCCAGCAGCCGCGGUAAUACGGAGGGUGCAAGCGUUAAUCGGAAUUACUGGGCGUAAAGCGCACGCAG
rnacentral:rRNA from 1 species